GAUGAACGCUGGCGGCGUGCCUAAUACAUGCAAGUCGAGCGAACGGACGAGAAGCUUGCUUCUCUGAUGUUAGCGGCGGACGGGUGAGUAACACGUGGAUAACCUACCUAUAAGACUGGGAUAACUUCGGGAAAACGUAGCUAAUACCGGAUAAUAUUUUGAACCGCAUGGUUCAAAAGUGAAAGACGGUCUUGCUGUCACUUAUAUAUGGAUCCGCGCUGCAUUAGCUAGUUGGUAAGGUAACGGCUUACCAAGGCAACGAUGCAUAGCCGACCUGAGAGGGUGAUCGGCCACACUGGAACUGAGACACGGUCCAGACUCCUACGGGAGGCAGCAGUAGGGAAUCUUCCGCAAUGGGCGAAAGCCUGACGGAGCAACGCCGCGUGAGUGAUGAAGGUCUUCGGAUCGUAAAACUCUGUUAUUAGGGAAGAACAUAUGUGUAAGUAACUGUGCACAUCUUGACGGUACCUAAUCAGAAAGCCACGGCUAACUACGUG
rnacentral:rRNA from 1 species